UACGGAGGGGGCUAGCGUUGUUCGGAAUUAUUGGGCGUAAAGGGCGCGUAGGCGGCCGAUCAAGUCGGAGGUGAAAUCCCUCGGCUCAACUGAGGAACUGCCUUCGAUACUGUUCGGCUUGAGUCCUGGAGAGGGUAGCGGAAUUCCCGGUGUAGCGGUGAAAUGCGUAGAGACCGGGAAGAACACCAGUGGCGAAGGCGGCUACCUGGACAGGUACUGACGCUGAAGCGCGAAAGCUAGGGGAGCAAACAGG
rnacentral:rRNA from 1 species